CCUACGGGAGGCAGCAGUGGGGAAUAUUGCACAAUGGGGGAAACCCUGAUGCAGCGACGCCGCGUGAGUGAAGAAGUAUUUCGGUAUGUAAAGCUCUAUCAGCAGGGAAGAAAAUGACGGUACCUGACUAAGAAGCCCCGGCUAACUACGUGCCAGCAGCCGCGGUAAUACGUAGGGGGCAAGCGUUAUCCGGAUUUACUGGGUGUAAAGGGAGCGUAGACGGAAGUGCAAGUCUGGUGUGAAAUUCCGUGGCCUAACCCCGGAACUGCAUUGGAAACUGUGUAUCUAGAGUGUAGGAGAGGUAAGUGGAAUUCCUGGUGUAGCGGUGAAAUGCGUAGAUAUUAGGAGGAACACCAGUGGCGAAGGCGGCUUGCUGGACUAUGACUGACGUUGAGGCUCGAAAGCGUGGGGAGCAAACAGGAUUAGAUACCCUGGUAGUC
rnacentral:rRNA from 1 species